rnacentral:other from 2 species
GUGGGACUGCCCGGUGCGUCAGGCAACUCAACCCCUGGGCCGAUAAGCACUUCCUCGGGAGCUGGCUCUGUCGUGGCCGUGGUCACGUUACCCGGUGCCCACCUGCACUUGCAGGUCCGGGAGGGCUGAAAGACCAACGGCCAUGGUGGUCCCACA